rnacentral:lncRNA from 1 species
CUGUUAUCAUCAACCAGCAGGGUCCUGCUGUAGUCUUUUUUGUCAAUGGCGGCCGCAAGGAACGCCUUGUUUUCAUCACAAGCCUCUGCUAUCGGCUUGGAAAGUUUCUUACGCUGGGCAGUAAGGGCCCGAGCUGACAUUCCCUGAGUUGAGGGAGGAGGCGGAAGACGAUGAAGUAGAUUGGGAGGACUCAUCCUGAG